CAGUUUCCAUUGUCCGUGACAGUUGCGACAGCGCGUCCGAACGGUUCGGAUAAAAGACCAGCUCCCCGUCUCCACUCCGCACCAUCAGGGAAACUAGAAAGUUUCUAAGUUGGAAAACUCCGCUCCCGCCGCCUUCAACAUGUCCCAUCAGCCUCUCCGUUGCUCCCUGCUUGAUGCCCUCCCUGGACUGCGUCCUCCACAUGCAACAGGCUGCAGCUUUCCAGCUGAAUUGAAGGGAAUUGAGUGAUCCAAAACGAUCUCUUGCAACUUCAGACCGCACCCUGCCAGCCCUCCUCCUCCUCUUCCUCCUCCUCCUCCUCUCCCUUUCUCCCUAAGUCCCUGCACUCUGCCACCUUCCAUUAUCCCCUCUCCUGGGUACAGGGUGCGCCGGAGAGGUCGGUCCGCACUCUGCUGCUGACUGACAGGAGAGCACGGAGACCGGAGCACAACUCCCAUCGGUCUUUCUGUGCCCUUGACACGCUGAUCAAGAGUUUAUUUUCUUUGUUUGGGUUGUAAGUAGCAGACAAUCCGAAUCAAUUAAACCAAUCAAUGUCCCAGUAUUUCCUCCCAGCUGCAUUCCAGUAUCAAAUUAGAUCAAGAGGUAACUGUUGGGUGAUUGACGAGACACCCAACUGUCCACUGACUCACAGCAGACACAUAUGAAGAGUUUUAUAACACAUAUUCUUCAUAAAAUAAACCCCUAAGCAGGGAAAUGGCUGCAAGUAACUGUAACACACACACACACACACGCACGCACGCACGCACGCACACACGCACGCACGCACGCACGCACGCACGCACGCACGCACGCACACACACACACACACACACACACACACACACACACACACACACACACACACACACACACACACACACACACACACACACACACACACACACACACACACACACACACACACCAGUAAACUCAGCCCCUCCAAAUUAGCUCUUCAAAUAUUUGCCGGCAGAAAAUCGGUGGUCUCACCACUGUUCAGCAGGGCUACCCCCUUUUGAAUGAAUUGAACUGUGCAGACCUGAGCUUUUUCCAUUUAUUAUUUGCGAGCGCAAACACCAUCAGGUAUUUUUUGCUUCAUUGCUGCUUUUCAUGUAUCUCAGUGGAACAGAGAAAGCUAAAGAGAAGGAUUCCCAAACAGCAAACAGCCAUCCGUAGCCAUGUUGACUCUGCAGCCGAAAUAGAACACCUCCGGACACUUGGGUAAAUUUAUUGAAACUUUCCUGCUCCGAAACACACAAACAAGUCAGAAGGAGUGGAGUUUUGUCACAGAGACCCUAAAGAUGAGGUCGGUAAAGCCUUGCAGGAUCGCAAACAGGGAUCGUCUCUUUGCUUUUAUAAUAAAUAAAAUUAACAGCAUGUAUGUAAACAUUUGGAGAUGCGCCACAGACAUCUGGUGUUUUUUCAAUAGAUAGGGUUUAUGAGGGCAAAUACACGAUUUGUUUGGCUUGUUUAGAGCUAACUUGGCGGUUAAUUUCAAGAUCAGUGUCACUUUCGUGUUAGUUCACUCCGUAAGAAGCCAGUUUCUGUCCAAAGGUUACAUAAUCUGCCCAUCAUCAUCUCAGCAAUCAACGCGGCUUAUCUCAAUUGUUAAAUCGAACACUUUGAACUUAGCAUAAAUCUCCCAUGAUUCCCCCGACUGUCCUUGAAUUUGAUGGAUUUAACAAAAAGUCGUUUAGGAUUAUCAGCCUCUUGUAAAUAACAUUUAUUGACAAUUGGUGGAAUUUUCUGAUCAAAUAAAAAUGGCAUCAAUUUGG